CCCGCUGAACUUAAGCAUAUCAAUAAGCGGAGGAAAAGAAACUAACAAGGAUUCCCCUAGUAACGGCGAGUGAAGCGGGAAGAGCUCAAAUUUGAAAUCUGGUGGUCUUUGGCCGCCCGAGUUGUAGUUUAGAGAAGCGUUUUCUGUGCCGGACCACGUACAAGUCCCUUGGAAUCGGGCGUCAUAGAGGGUGAGAACCCCGUCUCUGGCGUGGACUUCCGGUGCUAUGUGAUGCGCUCUCGAAGAGUCGAGUUGUUUGGGAAUGCAGCUCAAAAUGGGUGGUAAAUUCCAUCUAAAGCUAAAUAUUGGCGAGAGACCGAUAGCGAACAAGUACCGUGAGGGAAAGAUGAAAAGAACUUUGGAAAGAGAGUUAAACAGUACGUGAAAUUGCUGAAAGGGAAACGCUUGAAGUCAGUCACGUUGGCCAGGGAUCAACCUUGCUUUUGCUUGGUGUACUUUCUGGUUGAUGGGUCAGCAUCAAUUUUGACCAUUGGAAAAAGGUCAAGGGAAUGUGGCAUCUUCGGAUGUGUUAUAGCCCUUGGUUGCAUACAAUGGUUGGGAUUGAGGAACUCAGCACGCCGCAAGGCCGGGUUUUUAACCACGUACGUGCUUAGGAUGCUGGCAAAAUGGCUUUAAUCGACCCGUCUUGAAACACGG
rnacentral:rRNA from 1 species